AUUAAUAUGCAUGUCCAAGUCCAACAUACAAUGAUUUCAUCACCUCCUACACCUCCCUCUCCCCUUCCCAUUAGUUUUGGACCAGGCAACCGGACAUACUCCUUCUCAGUAUCUUCAACUACUUCCCCACCUUUCUCGCUCGUUCCUUCCUCCCCAUCUGAUGACAAUCUUCCCCUAAUUCUGCACAAGAUCACUAAUGUUCCAUCAUCAAUAUUUUCAUUGGAUCACCAGCAAUUCCAAUCCAAGACUCCAUGCCUCAAGGACUUGUAAGUCAUGCAAGUUGGAAUGGUUUAUACAAAGAUGUUGCAGUUGCUGUAACAAAUUUCCUUGAAUCAUCCUAACGACACACAACAUCUCAAGUGUUCAACAGAAUUUGUUCCCAGUGGUUAUUAUAUACUUAGGCAUUCAAUCUCCUUAACCGUUUUCAUUUUGCCAACUGUAUUCUCAUUUAAUAAUUAUGUGUCUCUUAUUAUUUCUCUUCUCUACCUAUCAUAAUUCUCUGGAUACCCGUGCUGAUAGCUCGUUUCAUCAGUUUAGCAUUUCUUAACAGUGCUGCUGGUGCAUCGAAGCUUAAGAAUCUAUUAAAAUCCAAAUAAAAUAGAUAGAAAA